rnacentral:lncRNA from 1 species
AAUUCCCCUACCAGUGAGACACAGACCUGCCACCAGAACAGCUGACCUGAUCGUGAACUUUCAGUAACUGCGGUGGGCUCAGGGUUUUUCCAGAGGAGACUCCACAGCUCUUUUCUGAUUUGUUUCAUUUCUUUUUAAACCCUAUUUGUACACCACAAUGAGCCCAUUAGAACCCAGGUGGUCUGGGCUUGGAACUCGGAACACAAAAUGUGAAAGAACAGGAAAUAAAAGAAAUGAAACGAAGAUUUCAAAGCCCAUCUGUGCACACCAGUGGGAAGGAGCUUGCUUGCCCUUCGUUCCCCUCCAACUCCUGUUUUCUGGAGAGGAGGAAGCCUGAAGACUACAGGUCUAGCUCCCAGAUCUCAUUUGUUGGAAAACAAAGACUGCCUUCAGAGAUCAGCAGGGACAGACCAGCUGGAGCUCCCUCAUCUAAGGCUUCCAUCCCGGAGAGAGUGCUCUCUCAAGUCAUCGUCCAGGACUGACUAGAAGCUGCAGAAAGAGGGCAGCUCAGUCCCUCUCCAGCAUCUUAGACUCUGGACUUGAGCUGUGGACAGGAGCUCUUUCCAGCCUCAGAGACCUGCCGCACUGGUUCAUUUAAAUCCUGUGUGAUGAUUCGUUUUAACUUGUUGGAUCCAGUUAAGGUGGUUAAUUCUGAACUGACAGGUUUGCUAAGAGAUUUGUACUCAUACCAUCUACAGAUACAAUGCCACAUGGAAGUCCUGAUCUUUUGGUGCCAAAGAAGAGAUGAUCCUUUCUGUUGGUGUCCUUGCUUAUUUUGGGGAAAAUAGUGGGCUUUCCUUGAAUACCUGACAGUUGCAAGCUAAGUGCUUUCUCUGCUUAUUAGAAAAAUUCAACUUGGAACCAAUUUGAGAAGUAUCCAUUCUCCCUCUCAAGUAUCCACUGGUUCUCUCUCACUUCCAGCUCAGAUUGGCCCGGAAGUCAGUGUGUAACCAAGAGUAGUUGAGAGUGACCCUGAGCUUUGAUUCUUCUCCCUCAACCUCCUGAAUCCUGUGGUUAGAGGUGUGGACCACCACAGUCAGCUUUGUGGGAUGCUGGAGACUCUGCAUACCUGGUAAGGCCCAAUGGAGCUACAUCCCUCUCCCUAGGCUCCCCAUUAUGAUCCAUAGUGACACCCAUAGUGAUACUGUAAGAUUCUGGCAGGCCUUAGCUUAUGGAGGACCCCUUGAGUGAACCACACAGAACCUGGGAUCGAUGCAAAAAGCAAGAGGAAUUUAUUGUUCCAACGCAUUGGGGCCAUCCUACACCUAAAGGAGAGAUGACAACACCUCACCUCCACCCCCAGCCAAUUUGGUCAGUCUUUAUACAGUUUUUCAGAGCAGCAGCCAUUAAGCACAAUGUGAUUUGCAGAACAGUGUGACUUUUAAAUCGAUUGGUCUCUGGGGAAUGAGGUGGUAGGGUUUGUCCAGUGGAAUGUGUUUACCUGGUCUAGGCCUCCCCGACCUGCAGGGCCAGUCCUUCCUGCAGAAGUUUAAUUAGCCUUCCCCUUCCUGAGGAGAAGGGUCUGGUGGAAUUUUCAAAAAGUCCUGAACUAACCUUUUCAAUAUCACCAUUAAUGCUUCUGGUUAAUAGACAAAAUACUCAUUCAAUAAUUAUUUUAUAGAUUUACUACACAGUGCUUGCCAUGUAAUCCAUCAAUAUUAUUUGAGACAAGGUAUGUGUGCAUGGGGGGGGGGGUGUCAGACUUUCCAAAAAUAUAUACACAUUGCAGCACAGUGCUUGUCAUAUUAAAGGUAAUCAGAAUGCUAAUUAAACAUGACAGUGAUCUAAGGAUGAUUUUUUAGUUGUCUUCACACAACAAUGAAAAGGUCCUUAUGGAACAGGCUGCCUGAACUUGAUAGGCCCCAGACUUGGCAUGAAUGUCUUGAAAUACCAUUCAGGCCAUAAUACUUAGCACAUAGAGAGCACCACCUCCCAAAACAAAAAAAUAAAGAUGUAAUCCAUCAAACCCCACAGCUCUGGGGAAGUCUCUAAGUGCACAAAUCUUGCUUUUUUGCUUAUGUAGUUUCACUUCUGGCUAACUGUUCUUGUUAACUGAAGAAUGUCAACUCAGAAUUUCUUUUUAAUUUUUAAUUUUUAUUUUUAUUAGUUAUUUAUUUGAUUUACAUCUCAAUAUCAGUCCCCCUUCUCCUCCUAGUACCCUCUCAUGUGGAUCCUCCCCCACUCCACCCUCCCCUUCUCCUUUGAGAAGGGGGUGGCCCCCUGUAGUUAUCACUUCCACUACUCCCCACCCCCCUUUCCCUGGCACAUCAAGCUGCUGCAGGACUAGGUGCAUCCUUUCCUACUGAGGCCAGAGAAGGAGGUCCAUUUAGGGGAACAGGAUCCACCAACAGGCAGGCAAACAGAUUUAGCAACAGCCACCCCCUCUUGUACUUGGGGAACCUGCAUCAAGACCAAGUUCUUACCUUCUACAUAUGUGCAGAGGAACUAGGUCCAGCCCAUACUCACCCUGUGUUGAUUCAGUCUCUGGGAGCCCUCCAGGGUCCAGGGUAGUUGACUCUGUUGGCUUUCCUGUGGAGUCAGUGUCCUCAUUGGGUCCCUCAGUCCUUCCCCCAACUCUUCUACAAGACUACCUGAGCUCCAUCUAAUGUUUGGCUGUGGGUCUCUGCAUCUCUUUCCAUUGGCUGCUAGUGGAGCCACUCAGAGAACAGUUAUGCCAGGCUCCUGUCAGCAAACAUAACAGAAUAUCAUUAAUAGUGUCAGGGAUUGGUUCUUGCCCAUGGGAUAGGUCUCAGUUUGGGGCAGUCAUUGCUUGGUCAUUCCUUCUCUCUCUGCUCUAUCUUUGUCCCUAUACAUAUUGUAGGUGGAUGCAUUUUGGGUUAAAGAUUUUGUGGGUGGAUUGCUUUUCUUUUCUUUUUUCUUUCUUUUUUUUAAUGAAAACAAUGAAAUGUUUUUAUUUAUUAAGCAAAUAAAAAUGAUUAUACUUUGU